AGAAAAUCCUCACAGAACCUCCAAACUCAGAAUUAGUGUGUGUAAAUUCUGAGUUUGGAGGUUCUGUGAGGAUUUUCU